rnacentral:rRNA from 1 species
GUGAGAAGUCCGGCUUGCUCGACUGAGCCGGACGUCCAGGAUGCGAGUGCCCAGUGGGCCACUUUUGGUAAGCAGAACUGGCGCUGUGGGAUGAACCAAACGCUGGGUUAAGGCGCCCGAUGCCAGACGCUCAUCAGAUCCCAUGAAAGGUGUUGGUUGCUAUAGACAGCAGGACGGUGGCCAUGGAAGUCGGAAUCCGCUAAGGAGUGUGUAACAACUCACCUGCCGAAGCAACUAGCCCUGAAAAUGGAUGGCGCUGUAGCGUCGAGCCCAUACCCGGCCGCCCCGGCUGGGCACGGAAGCUUAUGCCGGGGUGAGUAGGAGGUGUCGCAGCGGCGUGCGUUGAAGGUGCCGGGCGUGGGCCCGCCUGGAGCCGCCGCUGGUGCAGAUCUUGGUGGUAGUAGCAAAUACUCAAGUGAGAACCUUGAGGACUGAGGUGGAGAAGGGUUCCAUGUGAACAGCAGUUGAACAUGGGUCAGUCGGUCCUAAGGGAUAGGAGAAAUCCGUUCCGAAGCGGGACCUGCGUGCACCGUGAGGUCCCGUGGUCGACCGAAAGGGAAUCGGGUUAAUAUUCCCGAACUCGGACGCGGAGAUCGGCCCCUCGGGGUCAACUGCGGUAACGCAACCAAACUCGGAGACGUCGAUCGGGGUCCCGGGAAGAGUUGUCUUUUCUUUGUAAGGGAUCGGCUCCCUGGAAUCGGCUCGCCCGGAGAUAGGGAUGCUGUUCCCGUAAAGCACCGCGGCUCUUGCGGUGUCCGGAGCGCUCCGGUCGGCCCUUGAAAAUCCGAGGGAGAGUGUGAUUUUCGUGCCGGACCGUACCCAUAUCCGCAGCAGGUCUCCAAGGUGAACAGCCUCUAGUCGAUGGAACA